rnacentral:rRNA from 1 species
GAUGAACGCUGGCGGCGUGCCUAAUACAUGCAAGUCGAGCGAACAGACGAGGAGCUUGCUCCUCUGACGUUAGCGGCGGACGGGUGAGUAACACGUGGAUAACCUACCUAUAAGACUGGGAUAACUUCGGGAAACCGGAGCUAAUACCGGAUAAUAUAUUGAACCGCAUGGUUCAAUAGUGAAAGACGGUUUUGCUGUCACUUAUAGAUGGAUCCGCGCCGCAUUAGCUAGUUGGUAAGGUAACGGCUUACCAAGGCAACGAUGCGUAGCCGACCUGAGAGGGGGAUCGGCCGCACUGGAACUGAGACACGGUCCAGGCUCCUACGGGAGGCAGCAGUAGGGAAUCUUCCGCAAUGGGGGAAAGCUUGACGGAGCAACGCCGCGGGAGUGAUGAAGGUCUUCGGAUCGUAAAACUCUGUUAUUAGGGAAGAACAAAUGUGUAAGUAACUAUGCACGUCUUGACGGUACCUAAUCAGAAAGCCACGGCUAACUACGUG